rnacentral:ribozyme from 1 species
AGCGAUACUGCACUGGUAAGGUAUGGAUCCGAAGCCUCCUGAAGGUCAACAAAGGCUCUCCAAAUAUCUGAGCUUGGGUAUACACGGAAACCCGACCCCUUGGGAAGAUGAGAGCUAGCGUCUG